AUUGCUGGGCAGUAGCCUAUCAUCACUCCAUCAUCAUAUUGUCAAGUGUGUGCGCUAAUUUACACCGAUCCUCUCUCGAAGGAGGGCCGGGCAUAGCUGCCCCAUUACAUUUUUGUGCCAAGCAAAAUCAAUAUCACCGUCCUCCUUAAACCUCUUCAGUGUAAGUCCCUCCAGGCUCCCACUCCGUUUUUGCAUCGAUUAUUUGCGCGGCUUCCCACUUCCCAACACCGGUGUCUGUUUGGAUCUUUUGACAAUAUAGGAAUCUUUCUUUCUUUUUUUCGGGUUUUCUUUCAUGAACCCAUUCAAGAAAAUUGUUGAUUGGCAUAAUUCUUCCACUAAGGCAAAGAAAUUGAGCCGAUUCAAGGAUAUCCUUCACUUCCAUGGGAUUGCCAAGAUUUGGUUGUCCGAAGGGUUUCGAAGGUGAUUCGAGUCCCAACCAUUACGGGACCAACUAUGGGCCAGCGGUGGGACUUCUUUCGACUCCAUUGCCUCAGUUUUCAGUGGCUUUGGGGAACUCAAAGGUGUCUUUGGAGCUGACGACAGCGGUGCCCGUGUUAUUGUUUCUUAUCUUGAUGAGAGUUCUGCCACAGCUGCAUUGGAAGCAUUUGAUGGACACCCUUGUCCUGACCUUGAACGUCGUUCGUUGCCCAUUCGGUAUUCAGUACUUCAACCCACUUCACAGGAAUUGCUUGCAGCCGUUGAUGAUAGGCCUUGGAAAAGUCUCACCAAAAGAAGGAUUCAGCAUUAUGGCUAUGAAUUUUGCUACAAAACACCCAUUCUGCAUUUGAAGGAUUUAUAUUCAGCCUUUCUUUGGCAAGGCCUUGCAUAAUGGAGUUCAGGCGAUAUGCUGAAUGUGGUUGGCUUCCUAACCAUACCUCAAGCCCCAGUAUGAAAUUGCAAAGUCCUAAACGUGACAAAAUUUUCUGAAGGAGGGCAAUCUAUCUUCCCUCACUAUCCAUGCUUCUAUUAUCUGGGGAGGCUCGUUAUGCUUGGCAUCAUUACAUUCCACACCACAAGAUUGAUUUCGUAAAGGACAACAUGAUCAGGGGGGGUUCAAGAAGGGUGUCUUUCUCUUUUCGUAAGGUGUUUGGAAUUCCUUUUUAACUCAUUUGCUGCCAGAUGAAUUGACCUAUAUAUUUUGAAAAGAGUUUUGCUUAUUAUCACACACCACAUACCAAACCCUUUUUUUUUAAUUUUUUUUUUUGUUUUACUUUUUUUAAACUAAUUGAAUAACUCAUUAUCUAUAUAUCACAUAUUUCUUAAGAGAAAAAAAAAAUAUGGUGUGUGAAGAUGAAUAUAAUUUUUAUUUUAAAAAAUAAUUUGUGCAAGCCUAGGGCAUACAAUAACCCCAUGCAGGCAUUUUGGGAAAAAGAAAAAAAAAAAAAAGUGUGGGACCACAUGAUUACUAAUUACUUUUAGUUUUUCAAGGUUAAAAUGGGUCCUUGCAAAUGUGAAUUUUUCCAGUAUUGUGAUUCCUCGAGAUGAGAGGACUGGUUGAAAAUCAAAGGCUGACAAUUCAAUGCUCAAGCAUCUGCAUCAUAGCAAUCAUAAUUGUUUGUAGGAAAUCGUUAGUCUAGGCUCUAGAGUGACACUACUGGAGUUGGACUCAUUAUCAAAGAUAAUACAUUCUCUUAUUUUUCGAGGAUCGCACAGAUUAUUCAUUCUCUUAACAGGAGAUAUUAGUUCCCUUGUUUUGUAAACACGAAAAAUAACUUAUAUAAACAAAUAUACUAAUGCUCAAAAUGAUCAUUGAUGUUGCCCA